CAGGUGUCGAGCCCUUACCUGUAGUCCCUGUACUUCCGGGUGGGCCGGAGGCUCGGGGGAGCCGGUGUGUCCAGUGCACACCCUCCUGCUUGUAUUGGUCAGCGCGGCCCGCUUUUCCCUCCCUUGGGAAUCCUGGAAGAUCUCUGCUAGCCAAUGCUGGCUUUUCCUAUACUUAAGGUGUAUGCAGCCCUUCGGUUGUCGACACUACACCUCCUACCUCAGAUGGGGCUUGGCUAUUGAUAAUGACAUAUUCGCGGUCCUACUAAAAGUCAGAAUGAGCAGAAGAAACUCUUAAGGGCCUCUAUAAAAUGAGGAAUUUGUCUCCUGUACGUUUCUACUAAUCUGGGUUAACAAUUUCGUAUUUGGGAUCACGCUGUGGCUGCAAUUACUCAGGCAAAGGCCAAACAUGCAAUGAUCUGAAGUCCGGAGGAGGAAAAUGAAUAUCUUCAAAAUGCAUCUGAUUUACUUUUAUGGACCAAAACUCAGCCACAUGAAUGAUACCCAGAAGGUUCACUCUCCUCUUGCAAUACAGCAAUAACCUAACAGCUUCGUUACCUGUUAUGCCUCAGCCAGGCAGCCAGUAAGUAUGAUGGCCUUGAACACACACACACUGUCACUGAACCCCAGGUUUUCACUAGGGGACAAGAGAAAUCUCAAAUUGGAGGUGAAGAGGAGGAAGGCAAGCCUUUCUACAGAGGAGAAACAAAGGCGUCCUGUGGAGUGUGCAGGAACUGCUACCAUGACCUCGAGUGGUACUUUUGCCAUCUGGAAGAAGACAGCUCAGUCGAACCAGAUGCUCUUUUUGUUUAUCACACUGCAAGACAAUUAAGGAGUAGUUCUUCUUCCCUGGAAAUAGAUUAGAAAAUCUGGCAGACAAAGUAGAGGGCGAAACCUGAAGCCAUCCAUUUGAAGUGAUGUAGCCUUGAGCUUCCAAGGAGAAGCAAACCAGACUUUGGCCAAAUUUGUGUCCAUGCAUGUAUGUGCAUGCCUUCUCCUGAUUGUAUUAUGUUGUUGAGUAGGGUAUGUUAAUUUGUUAGGUGUUAUUGAAAGAUGGAAUGCUAUUAUCACUCUAUCUUAGUUGGAAUAUACUUCAUGUGGGGGUCUGCUGGGAGCACCUAAUCUCUUGUGGUGAUUUGGAAAGCUGCAUUAAAUUCAUUGAAGGAAAAAUAUGUGAAAAUUAUUCUAAAAAUAACCAUGAAAUUUACUAUGUUUAAUUUGCUGUUUUAAAAGCUCUUCAAGUCAGUAGUGACCACAGAUUCCUAGCAUUAAUGAACAAUUAUCAUAUUGCUGAAAUUGACACCAUAUUUAGCCGUAGAAAGGCCAAAAAUACAGUAGGGUAAAAAGCAUGAAAUAUAUUCUUCGUUGAUGAAAUAUCUUU